CAAUAUAGUAACAGGGCAUAAUUUUACUUUGCUGGAAAUCAUGUCGACCGCUGAACAAACAUGUUGAAAAGUUAAGUGCGUUUAGGACUGUUCAGCAGAUAAUUAU